rnacentral:lncRNA from 1 species
UCGCUUGCGACACCUCUGCACUUGUCCUUGAUACCAUGAUAGCGUGGAUGCAUCCUCCUACGCGCCUUGUGCAAGCGAACAAACCGCUGGUAGUGCGGGGGGAUCAGAUCAGUGGCGCCUGGUGGUAGUAAUGAUGGGCGAGCAAGUGGGACGCAGGUAGCCGGGACAGCUCGCUGUCCCGAGCUCGCAGAUGAUUACGGCAGUAAGCACAGGGUGAUGGGCGCAAUC